GCCAGACUGGUGUAGUGGUUUGAGUAUUGAACUGCAACUCUGGAGACCAAGGUUCGAAUCCUGGCUCGGCCA